AAUUAUUUCAUUUAUUUAUUUACUUCAGACUUGCAUCUAGCUCUACAGUCAAAAUAGCUACAUCUAGCGACUCAGAGAAAGAAACAACCUGGAAGCUGUGUUCUCAGCAGUACAAACACACUUUGCUUUUUUUAAUGUUUUUGUGGUUUUUUUGUUUUUGUUUUUUUUUUCGCCUCUCUUCACUGAAGCACUGCUGCACAACCCUGAAGAAAACCCAUUUCUAAGCACUAAUACACGCGUUAAUUUGCUCAAUUUGCUCUCAGAAGGCCCGGACAGCUGCAGGAAGCCUACCAGCCACCCCCACUCACAGCUGACACCCCCCGCCGCGCUCAGCAGGCACAGCACCGCGUUCCGAGCCGCGCGAGCCCGUUGGCUCUCGUGCACUGGCUGUCAGGUGCAGCUGGAGGGGCAGCUCUGGAAGCGUACUCCGCCGGGCGCGUGGCCAGAACCGCUCCGCGCCUCUGGGAAAGGCAGAUUCGUUCGCCCUCGGCGAACACGUAGUAAAACAAGUGAAUUCCCGGUUACUCGACUGCUGUGCUUCCCUAAACGCCGGUGCCACGGUGAGCUGCCCGAGGGAAGAGCAGAGGCUUCUCAUCCCUUGGGAUGUGCCCAGGCGGACCUCGUUUGGAGAGCUCCGAACCCGCGGGCCGAGGACAGUGGUUGAGACAUACAGAUGUACUUGUACUUAUGACAAUGAAGACAAAAAAAAAACCACUCAGGAGAUAAAUGAACACUGAGGAGAAAAAGGACAUGAAAGGUAAGCUACUACAGCACUGUAGAAGUUAAAGCUUUCAAUUUGUCAAUCAAAAGUAGUCAUAUAUAUAGUAGAUAACUCAUUAACAAAAGUAUUUCCUGACUUUUUUGCUGGAUGUACGUAUGGAAUCUUGAGGGAUGCAAGUGCUUCUAAACUUCCGUCGCAUUUGGCUUACAUUUCUUUUAUGCUAUUGUGGAUUGGGUUCAUUCAUGUAUAAAACAACAUGUUUGAGUUAUUGAUGGGACUUGGAUGAAGGAAUUAAUGUUAUAGUCUUGUUAUUG
rnacentral:lncRNA from 1 species